AUUCAUUCUCAAUCAUUCAUUUAUUGAAGUUCAAAUUAGCGGAAGCUCAAAAUGUUCGCUUCAAAGCUUAUUUUGGUGAUCGUCAUGGCGUUAGGUUUUACUUGUGCAAGUCCCAUUGGAUCCGAAAUCUCAGACCUGCAGCGAUCUUGCAUCAGUAUGUCUGGCUCCGAUACUGGUCUUUGGAAAUUUAUCGCUUCGCAUUCAGAGUUCCAGUCUUGUCGGGCAUCCAAGAUUGGCGAAAUGGACCCAACCAUUGAUAAUUCAUCGUUCAAUUCCGGAGCGAUGAAGAAACUUUGCUAUUCGCUUAACUCGUCAUUGGAAUGUUUGGAUGGAAUGGUUGAAGGGGUGGCAAUGUG